rnacentral:rRNA from 1 species
GACAAGAAAUAACAAUACGGGGCUUAAUGUCUUGUAAUUGGAAUGAUGGGAAUUUAAACCUCUUCCAGAGUAUCAAUUGGAGGGCAAGUCUGGUGCCAGCAGCCGCGGUAAUUCCAGCUCCAAUAGCGUAUAUUAAAAUUGUUGCAGUUAAAAAGCUCGUAGUUGAAUUUCUGCUGCAUUGCAUUUGCUCCUUGACGAGUGUCUGUAUUGCGGCUUAUUUCGGAUUAUGCUUGCAUUUUCCGGAUGUUUACUUUGAGAAAAUUAGAGUGCUCAAAGCAGGCUUUUGCCUUGAAUAGUUUAGCAUGGAAUAAUAAAGUAGGACUUUGGUUCUAUUUUGUUGGUUUUAGGUACCAAAGUAAUGGUUAAUAGGAACAGUUGGGGGCAUUCGUAUUUAACUGUCAGAGGUGAAAUUCUUAG